rnacentral:rRNA from 1 species
UACGUAGGGUGCGAGCGUUGUCCGGAAUUAUUGGGCGUAAAGAGCUCGUAGGCGGUGUGUCACGUCGGCCGUGAAAACCUGCAGCUUAACUGUGGGCGUGCGGUCGAUACGGGCAGACUGGAGGUAUGCAGGGGAGAACGGAAUUCCUGGUGUAGCGGUGAAAUGCGCAGAUAUCAGGAGGAACACCGGUGGCGAAGGCGGUUCUCUGGGCAUGUCCUGACGCUGAGGAGCGAAAGUGUGGGGGAGCGAACAGG